GACGUAGGGCGCGAGCGUUGUCCGGAUUUAUUGGGCGUAAAGAGCUCGUAGGCGGCUUGUCGCGUCGACUGUGAAAUCCCGCGGCUCAACUGCGGGUCUGCAGUCGAUACGGGCAGGCUAGAGUGUGGUAGGGGAGAUCGGAAUUCCUGGUGUAGCGGUGAAAUGCGCAGAUAUCAGGAGGAACACCGGUGGCGAAGGCGGAUCUCUGGGCCAUUACUGACGCUGAGGAGCGAAAGCGUGGGGAGCGAACAGG
rnacentral:rRNA from 1 species